AUGCAGUCGAACGAUGACGGUGGUGCUUGCACCGCCUGAUUAGUGGCGAACGGGUGAGUAACACGUGAGUAACCUGCCCUCCACUUCGGGAUAACCUCGGGAAAUCGUGGCUAAUACCGGAUACGAGCACUCAUCGCAUGGUGAGUGCUGGAAAGAUUUAUCGGUGGGGGAUGGACUCGCGGCCUAUCAGUUUGUUGGUGAGGUGAUGGCUCACCAAGACGAUGACGGGUAGCCGGCCUGAGAGGGCGACCGGCCACACUGGGACUGAGACACGGCCCAGACUCCUACGGGAGGCAGCAGUGGGGAAUAUUGCACAAUGGGCGAAAGCCUGAUGCAGCGACGCCGCGUGGGGGAUGACGGCCUUCGGGUUGUAAACCCCUUUCAGUAGGGAAGAAGCGAGAGUGACGGUACCUGCAGAAGAAGCGCCGGCUAACUACGUGCCAGCAGCCGCGGUAAUACGUAGGGCGCAAGCGUUGUCCGGAAUUAUUGGGCGUAAAGAGCUUGUAGGUGGCUUGUCGCGUCUGCCGUGAAAACCCGAGGCUCAACCUCGGGCGUGCGGUGGGUACGGGCAGGCUAGAGUGUGGUAGGGGAGACUGGAACUCCUGGUGUAGCGGUGAAAUGCGCAGAUAUCAGGAAGAACACCGAUGGCGAAGGCAGGUCUCUGGGCCAUUACUGACACU
rnacentral:rRNA from 1 species